GAAUAUUGCACAAUGGGGGAAACCCUGAUGCAGCGACGCCGCGUGGAGGAAGAAGGUCUUCGGAUUGUAAACUCCUGUUGUUGAGGAAGAUAAUGACGGUACUCAACAAGGAAGUGACGGCUAACUACGUGCCAGCAGCCGCGGUAAAACGUAGGUCACAAGCGUUGUCCGGAAUUACUGGGUGUAAAGGGAGCGCAGGCGGGAGAACAAGUUGGAAGUGAAAUCCAUGGGCUCAACCCAUGAACUGCUUUCAAAACUGUUUUUCUUGAGUAGUGCAGAGGUAGGCGGAAUUCCCGGUGUAGCGGUGGAAUGCGUAGAUAUCGGGAGGAACACCAGUGGCGAAGGCGGCCUACUGGGCACCAACUGACGCUGAGGCUCGAAAGUGUGGGUAGCAAACAGGAUUAGAUACCCUGGUAGUCCACACCGUAAACGAUGAUUACUAGGUGUUGGAGGAUUGACCCCUUCAGUGCGGCAGUUAACACAAUAAGUAAUCCACCUGGGGAGUACGAA
rnacentral:rRNA from 1 species